CGGGGUGUAGCGCAGGGGUAGCGCGCAUCGUUCGGGACGAUGAGGUCGUAGGUUCAAAUCCUAUCACCCCGACCA
rnacentral:tRNA from 4 species